GCCUCUGUAGCUCAAAGGAUAGAGCAGCCCUUUUGCGAAGGGAAGGUAGCGGGUUCGAAUCCCGUCAGGGAUU
rnacentral:tRNA from 2 species